rnacentral:sRNA from 1 species
AAUAGAUGGCCUAAUUUCAUCUAAGUACUUGCAAUAUCUGUAACCCCAUGUUAUUCUAAGGAAGAAUUAUUUUUGUUCGGAUAACUUUUUAUAAAGUGUCAGAUAUUCAUCUGCAAGAUUUGAGCAAGGAUAGUAAUACAAUGUAUGCAUUUGCAUACGAGGAGGAAACACACAUGGAACAAGGUAAAGUAAAAUGGUUUAACUCAGAAAAAGGAUUCGGCUUCAUCGAGCGCGAAGGCGGAGACGACGUAUUCGUACACUUCUCAGCUAUCCAAAGCGAAGGAUUCAAAUCUUUAGACGAAGGUCAAGAAGUUACUUUCGACAUCGAGCAAGGCCAACGCGGUCUUCAAGCUACUAACGUACAAAAAGCUUAAUUUUAAGCUCUUAUUACGGACUCUCCUUUUGGAGGGUCCGUUUUU